rnacentral:rRNA from 1 species
AGAGUUUGAUCCUGGCUCAGAACGAACGCUGGCGGCGUGCCUAAUACAUGCAAGUCGAACGAGAAAGUGGAGCAAUCCAUGAGUAAAGUGGCAGACGGGUGAGUAAUACAUAGGUAACCUACCCUCAAGAUGAGAAUAACCUUCCGAAAGGAGGGCUAAUACUGAAUGAGACCACAGGUGCUUCGGCACCAGGGGUCAAA